UCCGCCUCCGUGAUCUGCAAAUAAAAUUCCAAAUAAAUAAAACUAGUCAAUCCAAAUUAAGUCUUGUGAAAAUAAUUACCCAUAUUCCACCCCCUCUCUCACGUUCAAAAAAAACAUAUCCCACUCCUAAAUCUCUUCCAAAUCUUAACCACAACUAACUCCCAAUUAUAAUCUCAUGUUAUGCAAUAUAAAUCUCCAUACCCCAUCUCUCCGCCUAACACCAAUUCUGCAGUCACUCUCAAUUCAAUUGUGAAUCCCAAAAUUUCCUCAAGGCGGAAGAGAAGGGAUCGUUGUUCCCCUCUCAAUCCUAAUUCCACCAAGAAACCGAGAACUAAGAACUAAGGUGAGGGAGUUCCUGUUCCGUUCAGUUGCAAAUCUGCAAAUUGAAGAACUUAACUUGCGGGGUUGUAAUCGGUGCUGCCGGGGCAGCGACGCAGCGG